rnacentral:rRNA from 1 species
CAGCCGCCACGGGAACACGGAGGGGGCUAGCGUUGUUCGGAAUUACUGGGCGUAAAGCGCACGUAGGCGGCUUUGUAAGUUAGAGGUGAAAGCCCGGAGCUCAACUCCGGAAUUGCCUUUAAGACUGCAGAGCUAGCAGGUGAGAGAGGUGAGUGGAAUUCCGAGUGUAGAGGUGAAAUUCGUAGAUAUUCGGAAGAACACCAGUGGCGAAGGCGGCUCACUGGCUCAUACUGGACGCUGAGGUGCGAAAGCGUGGGGAGCAAACAGGAUUAGAUACCCCCGUAGUCCCUGUCUCUUAUAC